UACGGCAACAUCACAUUGAAACACUGAUUCUCAUGUGAUCACCGAUGUUAAGCAACGUCAAGCCUGGUCAAUACCUAGACGGGUCACCGCUUGGGAGUACCAGGUGCUGUAAG